UGGGGAAUAUUGGACAAUGGACCAAGAGUCUGAUCCAGCAAUUCUGUGUGCACGAUGAAGUUUUUCGGAAUGUAAGGUGCUUUCAGUUGGGAAGAAAGAAAUGACGGUACCAACAGAAGAAGUGACGGCUAAAUACGUGCCAGCAGCCGCGGUAAUACGUAUGUCACGAGCGUUAUCCGGAUUUAUUGGGCGUAAAGCGCGUCUAGGUGGUUAUGUAAGUCUGAUGUGAAAAUGCAGGGCUCAACUCUGUAUUGCGUUGGAAACUGUAUAACUAGAGUACUGGAGAGGUAAGCGGAACUACAAGUGUAGAGGUGAAAUUCGUAGAUAUUUGUAGGAAUGCCGAUGGGGAAGCCAGCUUACUGGACAGAUACUGACGCUGAAGCGCGAAAACGUGGGUAGCAAACAGGAUUAGAUACCCUGGUAGUCCACGCCGUAACGAUGAUUACUAGGUGUUGGGGGUCGAACCUCAGCGCCCAAGCAAACGCGAUAAGUAAUCCGCCUGGGGAGUACGUACGCAAGUAU
rnacentral:rRNA from 1 species